CUAAUAUUCCUGUACCGUGUAUCCGCAGCCGAAAGGCCCCGACGCUUCGGGGUAUGUUGAGCGGGAUCAUCGUCCCGUCCAAGCGUAUAAUUCCGGGGAGUACCGUAAUGGUGAGAAGCGGAAGAAAGCGUGAUGGAGUAAUUCGACAAAUUCCCGGAGCCCAUGAAAAGGGGGAUACCGUCCGUACCGAGAACCGACACAGGUGCCCCUCGCUGAGAAGGCGAAGGCGUGUCGGGUUUAAUCGUGUUAAGGGAACUCGGCAAAUUGGCCCCGUAACUUUGGGAGAAGGGGUGCCUGCCUGGAGAUCAGGCAGGUCGCAGUGACCAGGGAGCUCUAACUGUCUAAUAACAACAUAGGAGACUGCAACUCGGAAACGACUAGUAUAGUCUCUGAUUCCUGCCCAGUGCGAGUAUCUGAACACCCAGUUCAAUGGGACGAAGGACUCGUAAACGGCGGGGGUAACGAUGACCCUCUUAAGGUAGCGUAGUACCUUGUCGCUUAAUUGGCGACUUGCAUGAAUGGAUUAAUGAGAGCUCUACUGUCCCUAACACGAAUCCGUUGAACCUUUUGUCCUAGUGCAGAGACUAGGGACUCCUAUUGGGAAGUGAAGACCCCGUGGAGCUUUACUGCAGCCUGUCGUUGAAUUACGGUUUUACAUGCGCAGCGUAGAUGGGAGGCGUUAUAUCCGUUUCUUUCGGGGAACGGGGAGCCACCAAUGAGACACCAUCCUUGUUUGGCUGUAAUUCUCACUCGUCUUUACGAGGACAUCGAUAGGUAGGCAGUUUGGGUGGGGCGCCACACCCUCGAAAAAAUAUCAAGGGUGCCCUAAGGUCAACUCAUGUGAGUCAGAGACUCACAGUAGAGUGAAAGAGCAAAAGUUGGCCUGACGCGAUUGCGCAUAGCAAGCAAUCGCGAGAGGAAACUCGGGUCUAACGAACCAAUAUGCCCUUUUGGUGAGGGCUAUUGACGACAGAAAAGCUACCCCGGGGAUAACAGAGUCGUCGCCGGCAAGAGCACAUAUCGACCCGGCGGCUUGCUACCUCGAUGUCGGUUCUUUCCAUCCUGGCUGUGCAGCAGCAGCCAAGGGUGAGGUUGUUCGCCUAUUAAAGGGGAUCGUGAGCUGGGUUUAGACCGUCGUGAGACAGGUCGGUUACUAUCUAAUAGGAGUGUCAGGAGUCUGAGGGUAAGAAUGAAAUAGUACGAGAGGAACUUUCAUUCGGCGCCUCUAGUCGAUCGGUUGUCCGACAGGGCAGUGCCGAGCAGCCACGCGCCAAGGGAUAAAAGCUGAAAGCAUCUAAGCUUGAAACCCGGCCUAAAAAGAGACUCCGUUACAGGACAUGAGUAAAAGACUCGUUUGAUAGGCUCGGGAUGUACGCACGAAGGCAACGACGUGUUCAGUCCGCGAGUACUAACGUCCAAAUACCCCAGUU
rnacentral:rRNA from 1 species